rnacentral:rRNA from 1 species
CCCGCACAAGCGGUGGAGCAUGUGGUUUAAUUCGACGCAACGCGAAGAACCUUACCUGGGUUUGACAUCCCUGUCGUAUUCCAUGGAAACAUGGGAGUCAGUUCGGCUGGACAGGUGACAGGUGCUGCAUGGCUGUCGUCAGCUCGUGUCGUGAGAUGUUGGGUUAAGUCCCGCAACGAGCGCAACCCUUGUCCUUAGUUGCCACCAUUCAGUUGGGCACUCUAAGGAGACUGCCGGUGUUAAACCGGAGGAAGGUGGGGAUGACGUCAAGUCCUCAUGGCCCUUAUAUCCAGGGCUACACACGUGCUACAAUGGCCGGUACAAAGGGUCGCAAUACCGCAAGGUGGAGCUAAUCCCAAAAAGCCGGUCUCAGUCCGGAUUGGAGUCUGCAACUCGACUCCAUGAAGUUGGAAUCGCUAGUAAUCGCGGAUCAGCACGCCGCGGUGAAUACGUUCCCGGGCCUU